AACGAACGCUGGCGGCAGGCUUAACACAUGCAAGUCGAACGGUUGUAGCAAUACAGCAGUGGCGCACGGGUGAGUAACGCGUGGAUAUCUGCCUUUUGGUUCGGAAUAACUCCGGGAAACUGGAGCUAAUACCGGAUGGUUCCUACGGGAUAAAGAUUUAUCGCCAAAAGAUGAGUCCGCGUACGAUUAGCUAGUUGGUGAGGUAAUGGCUCACCAAGGCGACGAUCGUUAGCUGGUCUGAGAGGACGAUCAGCCACACUGGGACUGAGACACGGCCCAGACUCCUACGGGAGGCAGCAGUGGGGAAUAUUGGACAAUGGGGGCAACCCUGAUCCAGCCAUGCCGCGUGAGUGAUGAAGGCCUUCGGGUUGUAAAGCUCUUUUGGCGGGGACGAUGAUGACGGUACCCGCAGAAUAAGCCCCGGCUAACUUCGUGCCAGCCGCCGCAGUAA
rnacentral:rRNA from 1 species